rnacentral:lncRNA from 10 species
AAAAGCCUCAUUGAAGUAUUUUGAAAGUUCUUUUCAAAAGAAAAAAGAAAGUUCUUUGUUCUUUUAAAGGAAGCUUUGAAGAAAGCAUAAUUAAUUACAAAAAAUGCUUCACAGUAUAUGUAGAUUUAUUCAAGUAUCUGAGUACACUAGACAAGUAUAUCUAUUUCUAAGUUUCUUAUGUCUCUUCCUUAUUAGAAUCAAAAGAGAAUCUUAGACUGAAUCUUCAGCUUGAACCUCAAGAAAAUCUUGCUAUUAAUAUUAUACAAAGUCAGGACUGAGAAAUCUUCCUACAUGCUACCUGCCGCAACCCUGGGCAUCUUCUUAUAGCUAUGGUUGAGAAAGACAAAUAAAAGCAGAAAUAUACCACAAGCAACUUUUCAAGCAAACAUCUCACUGGCCAAAGCAAGUGAUGUGGAUGAAUCAAGGAAUGGGCAGAACAUCCCUUCCCUGAGUUGGAGAGCACUGAAAAAUGACAUAGCAAAAAGGAUGGUCAAAGGGAGGGGGUGAAUAAUUAUGACCACUUCUUUUCAACGUGAGGCUAUGUCCAGAUAUGAAGCUGGUGUGUUUUGAAAGUUUACAUGGGUUAGGCUUUCAUAACCUUUUUAGGCCUUACCAUGUGUUCCUUACACAGACUCACUGUUAGAGUGGGUAAAAGCUCUCCUAUAUCAGCUGCUAUUCUCAUUUUGGUCUGCCACACUUUCUAGGGAAUACCUGUUGGCUACUUUGAAUUUGUUUGUUCUCAUACCAUUUGUCCCAGCCAUCCCAUUACUGGGUAUAUA